GACGAACGCUGGCGGCGUGCCUAAUACAUGCAAGUCGAGCGGAACUGGGGGAGCUUGCUCCUUCCAGUUUAGCGGCGGACGGGUGAGUAACACGUGGGCAACCUGCCCUGCAGAUCGGGAUAACUCCGGGAAACCGGUGCUAAUACCGAAUAGUUUGGCGCCUCUCCUGAGGCGCUACGGAAAGACGGUUUCGGCUGUCACUGCAGGAUGGGCCCGCGGCGCAUUAGCUAGUUGGGGGGGUAAAGGCCCACCACGGCGACGAUGCGUAGCCGAGCUGAGAGGGUGACCGGCCACGCUGGGACUGAGACACGGCCCAGACUCCUACGGGAGGCAGAGGUAGGGAAUCUUCCGCAAUGGACGCAAGUCUGACGGAGCAACGCCGCGUGAGUGACGAAGGUUUUCGGAUCGUAAAACUCUGUUGUGAGGGAAGAACACGUACCAACUAACUAUUGGUACCUUGACGGUACCUCACCAGAAAGCCACGGCUAACUACGUGCCAGCCGCCGCGGUAA
rnacentral:rRNA from 1 species